rnacentral:rRNA from 1 species
UACGGAGGUCUCAAGCGUUGUUCGGAUUCAUUGGGCGUAAAGGGUGCGUAGGCGGCGCGGUAAGUCGGGUGUGAAAUUUCGAGGCUUAACUUCGAAACUGCAUUCGAUACUGCCGUGCUAGAGGACUGGAGAGGAGACUGGAAUUUACGGUGUAGCGGUGAAAUGCGUAGAUAUCGUAAGGAAGACCAGUGGCGAAGGCGGGUCUCUGGACAGUUCCUGACGCUGAGGCACGAAGGCCAGGGGAGCAAACGGG